UCCCCAAGCAAAUACAUUGCUUUCUCCAUUUGUGUGGGUGCCGAAUUCUCUCUAGACCAAAGCAUAACUUUUUAUUCUUUGAUUUUCUCACAAAAGUUCCUUAACCAAAAACGUGUCAAAUUUCCCGUAGAUUACUAAUCUCUAUUUGCAUGUUGGAUCAAGAUCCAGCGAGUUUUGUCGCGGAAACCGGCGAGCAAAGGUUUUGAAUAAUCAACGGGUGGUAUUUUUAUAUUUGGAAUAAGCGAGUACUGCGAGUAGUUUGACGUGUGGAUUUCCAAUUUCUUGUUCCGGAAAUCCCUAGCUUGAAUAAAGUGAGAAUGACUUUCCUUAUUGUGUCUAGAGUUGCAGUAGCUAGAAUAAUGAACGGUGAUAUCCUAGUAGUCGUUGGACUUGAUUAUGCUUUAUAUUUUAUAACGCUUAAACUCUGAUAUAAUAUGUAAUUUGUGAACGCUGUGCGAAAGUCCGAGCGACUGCACUUGAAUAAAAUGCGGCGAACGCAUCUGCAUAGUGAAAUGCAGUUAAGUCCAUCAGAGAAAUGGCCUGCAUAGUGAAAUGCAGUAAUUACCAUAGUAAAAUGGUAUGCACAUUGAGAUGCAUGAUAAACCAUAGAGAAAUGGUUUGAAACUAAAA